rnacentral:rRNA from 1 species
CACAUGCAAGUCGAACGAUAGAAGGAAGCUUGCUUCUGGAUUAGUGGCGAACGGGUGAGUAACACGUGAGUAACCUGCCCUUGACUCUGGGAUAAGCACUGGAAACGGUGUCUAAUACCGGAUACGACCUUCAGCCGCAUGGCUCGGGGGUGGAAAGAAUUUUGGUCAAGGAUGGACUCGCGGCCUAUCAGCUAGUUGGUGAGGUAAUGGCUCACCAAGGCGACGACGGGUAGCCGGCCUGAGAGGGUGACCGGCCACACUGGGACUGAGACACGGCCCAGACUCCUACGGGAGGCAGCAGUGGGGAAUAUUGCACAAUGGGCGAAAGCCUGAUGCAGCAACGCCGCGUGAGGGACGACGGCCUUCGGGUUGUAAACCUCUUUUAGUAGGGAAGAAGCGAAAGUGACGGUACCUGCAGAAAAAGCACCGGCUAACUACGUGCCAGCAGCCGCGGUAAUACGUAGGGUGCAAGCGUUAUCCGGAAUUAUUGGGCGUAAAGAGCUCGUAGGCGGUUUGUCGCGUCUGCUGUGAAAACUGGAGGCUCAACCUCCAGCCUGCAGUGGGUACGGGCAGACUAGAGUGCGGUAGGGGAGAUUGGAAUUCCUGGUGUAGCGGUGGAAUGCGCAGAUAUCAGGAGGAACACCAAUGGCGAAGGCAGAUCUCUGGGCCGUAACUGACGCUGAGGAGCGAAAGCAUGGGGAGCGAACAGGAUUAGAUACCCUGGUAGUCCAUGCCGUAAACGUUGGGAACUAGAUGUAGGGGCCAUUCCACGGUUUCUGUGUCGCAGCUAACGCAUUAAGUUCCCCGCCUGGGGAGUACGGCCGCAAGGCUAAAACUCAAAGGAAUUGACGGGGGCCCGCACAAGCGGCGGAGCAUGCGGAUUAAUUCGAUGCAACGCGAAGAACCUUACCAAGGCUUGACAUAUACCGGAAAAGUGCAGAAAUGUGCUCCCCGCAAGGUCGGUAUACAGGUGGUGCAUGGUUGUCGUCAGCUCGUGUCGUGAGAUGUUGGGUUAAGUCCCGCAACGAGCGCAACCCUCGUUCUAUGUUGCCAGCACGUUAUGGUGGGAACUCAUAGGAGACUGCCGGGGUCAACUCGGAGGAAGGUGGGGAUGACGUCAAAUCAUCAUGCCCCUUAUGUCUUGGGCUUCACGCAUGCUACAAUGGCCGAUACAAAGGGCUGCAAUACCGUGAGGUGGAGCGAAUCCCAAAAAGUCGGUCUCAGUUCGGAUUGAGGUCUGCAACUCGACCUCAUGAAGUCGGAGUCGCUAGUAAUCGCAGAUCAGCAACGCUGCGGUGAAUACGUUCCCGGGCCUUGUACACACCGCCCGUCAAGUCAUGAAAGUCGGUAACACCCGAAGCCAGUGUGUCCUAACCGGUAA